GAUGAACGCUGGCGGCGUGCCUAAUACAUGCAAGUCGAGCGAACAGACGAGGAGCUUGCUCCUCUGACGUUAGCGGCGGACGGGUGAGUAACACGUGGAUACCCUCCCUAUAAUACUGGGAUAACUUCGGGAAACCGGCGCUAAUCCCGGAUAAUAUAUUGAACCGCAUGGUUCAUUAGUGAAAGACGGUUUUGCUGUCACUUAUAGAUGGAUCCGCGCCGCAUUAGCUAGUUGGUAAGGUAACGGCUUACCAAGGCAACGAUGCGUAGCCGACCUGAGAGGGUGAUCGGCCACACUGGAACUGAGACACGGUCCAGACUCCUACGGGAGGCAGCAGUAGGGAAUCUUCCGCAAUGGGCGAAAGCCUGACGGAGCAACGCCGCGUGAGUGAUGAAGGUCUUCGGAUCGUAAAACUCUGUUAUUAGGGAAGAACAAAUGUGUAAGUAACUAUGCACGUCUUGACGGUACCUAAUCAGAAAGCCACGGCUAACUACGUG
rnacentral:rRNA from 1 species